rnacentral:rRNA from 1 species
CACGUAGGUGGGUUUGUAAGUCAGAUGUGAAAGCCUUCUGUUCAACGGAAGAAUUGCAUCUGAAACUACAAGUCUUGAGUGUAGGAGGGGAGAAUGGAACUUCUGGUGGAGCGGUGAAAUCCGCAGAUAUCAGAAGGAACGCCGGCGGCGAAAGCGAUUCUCUGGCCUAUUACUGACACUCAGUGUGCGAAAGCUAGGGGAGCAAACGGGAUUAGAUACCCCGGUAGUCCUAGCCGUAAACGAUGGGCACUAAGUAGAGGGGAUUACCGACGUUCUCUCUGCCGUAGCUAACGCAUUAAGUGCCCCGCCUGGGGAGUACGGCCGCAAGGCUAAAACUCAAAAGAAUUGACGGGGGCUCGCACAAGCGGUGGAGCAUGUGGCUUAAUUCGAUGCAACGCGAAGAACCUUACCGGGGCUUGACAUGGUAGAAGUAGGAACCCGAAAGGGUAACGAACGGUAUCCAGUCCGUGACUAUCACAGGUGUUGCAUGGCUGUCGUCAGCUCGUGUCGUGAGACGUUGGGUUAAGUCCCCUAACGAGCGAAACCCUUGUUUUUAGUUACCAGCGGGUUAUGCCGGGUACUCUAGAAAGACUGCCGUCGUCAAGACGGAGGAAGGUGGGGAUGACGUCAAGUCAUCAUGGCCCUUAUGCCCCGGGCUGCACACGUGCUACAAUGGUCGGUACAAACGGAAGCGAAGCCGAGAGGUGAAGCGAAUCCAAGC